GCCGGGAUGGCGGAACGGCAGACGCAAGGGACUUAAAAUCCCUUGGGCCCUUUUGAGCCCGUGCCGGUUCAAGUCCGGCUCCCGGCA
rnacentral:tRNA from 1 species